GACGAACGCUGGCGGCGUGCCUAAUACAUGCAAGUAGAACGCACAGUUUAUACCGUAGCUUGCUACACCAUAGACUGUGAGUUGCGAACGGGUUAGUAACGCGUAGGUAACCUGCCUGGUAGCUGGGGAUAACUAUUGGAAACGAUAGCUAAUACCGCAUAAUAUUAAUUAUUGCAUGAUAAUUAAUUGAAAUGUGCAAUUGCACCACUACCAGAUGGACCUGCGUUGUAUUAGCUAGUAGGUGAGGUAACGGCUCACCUAGGCGACGAUACAUAGCCGACCUGAGAGGGUGAUCGGCCACACUGGGAGUGAGACACGGCCCAGACUCCUACGGGAGGCAGCAGUAGGGAAUCUGCGGCAAUGGACGAAAGUCUGACCGAGCAACGCCGAGUGAGUGAAGAAGGUUUUCGGAUCGUAAAGCUCUGUUGUAAGGGAAGAACGGGUGUGAGAGUGGAAAGUUCACACUGUGACGGUAUCUGACCAGAAAGGGACGGCUAACUACGUG
rnacentral:rRNA from 1 species